CUGACAUGAAGCACCUACAAGAGAUACAGCUUGCCUGACCUAAUUAUCCUGGCUCCAGUAACAACUAGUGAAAGAGUCUGGCCAGCACCCAAGUGUGAUUCAUCCCUGUGUAAGCUGGGUCUCUGUGCAGGUCAAUUGCAUUGUCAUUGCAUCUCAUGGAAGGCAAUCUGAGCCAGUUACUAAAAAGGAGAGUUCAGCUGAGGUUACACUACAGAAAGAACAAUGUAACCCUCUUCAUCCUAAUGUGACUAAGGACUGGAAGUCUGAAUAGGAGCAAUCAUCCAAAAGCACUACUGUCAGUCUAACUUUGCAAUUUUGGUUGAAGAUCUUUCCUGUAGGCUACAACAAUACUGAGACUGGGUUAAAGAUUUUGUCUUAGGCUCUUUUUUAGUUUUGUAUCAAAUGCUAUCAGUAUGGUAUCUCUGCACUGCAAGUAUGAUUUCCUCAAAG
rnacentral:lncRNA from 1 species